GGGGCUGUGGUGCAGUUGGUUUAGCACACUGGCCUGUCAAGCCAGAGGCCGCGGGUUCGAGUCCCGUCAGCCCCG
rnacentral:tRNA from 1 species